AAAUUGCGAGAAUUUGGGAAGGGAAUCUUUAUCUUCUCGUCUAGUUCUCCGAGGUUGAAGGCUCGGCCUGCUCAGAGAAGGAAACUGAGGUCCACCGAGUUGGAGAAACCUACUCAACACCAGGUAACCAUUUAAUGGCAAACUCGACCAACACCUAAUUGUCAUGACUCCCAGGCAGUGUCUUAUCCAUUGCCGUGCUCUGUAGAUGAGCACACUAUAAGUUGACUAACUUCUUCAGUGCUUAGAGUGUGAGAAAAAUGGCAAAUAUGAAUAGUGAUUCUAGGCAUCUUGGCACCUCUGAGGUAGAUCAUGAAAGAGAUCCUGGACCUAUGAAUAUCCAGUUUGAGCCAUCGGAUCUAAGAUCCAAAAG
rnacentral:lncRNA from 1 species